AUGCGCGGCGCCGGGCGGCAGCAGAUCACCGCCUCUUCCCUCCGCGCGAGGCAGGCGACGGGCUCCCACGUCUUCACGAUCCACGAGUUCACGAAAGUCAGGGAGAAGGUGGCCAACGGCACCGCCGUCCUGUCAAGCCCGUUCCGCGUCGGCGGCCACGACUGGCGUAUCAAGUGCUACCCGAACGGCGAGACUGAGAAGGCCGAGGGUCAUAUCUCCCUCUUUCUGAAUCAUGGCAGCCACGGCAAGACGGGCGAUGCCAUGACAAAGUUCAAGAUAAGCGUACUCGACAAGGCCUGGAAGCCGUCGUACACUGAAACAGGAAAAGAACGCUGCUUCACGGGCGGCGGUUGGGGCUGGAACAAAUUCAUGAAACAUGAGGACCUGGACAAGGAGAAACACCUCAAGGACGACUGCUUGUCCGUACUCUGCGACGUGACCAUCGAUCUCGGGCUGCGCGCCGACGACUACACCGAUGAGGCUGCGGCAGUGGACGGGCACAAGUCGGCGCCGCCGCAUUCGCCACCGUUCGACUUGCGCGGCGUAGCACUCGCGGAGGCACUCUGGAACACGCGGGCGGCGGACUUGAUGAUCCACCUCGGCGACGGGCAGACGAUCCCGGCGCACCGGUGGGUGCUGGAGGCCCGAUCCCCGGUCUUCAAGGCGGAUCUUGCCCACGCCUCCACAACCGGCGAGAACAUUGCUGAGCUACGCGUCGAUGGCAUGGACGCCGAGGUCUGCAAGGAGCUGCUCCAGUUCAUCUACACGGACUCGCCGCCUCAGCAGAUCGAGGUGGCGGUGGUGGAGGGGCUCCUUGCCGCGGCGGAUAGGUAUGAGCUGGAGAAGCUGAAGCUCGUCUGCGAGGAGGCGCUGUGCAAGAUCAUCGACACGAGAUCUGUAGCCGCUACCCUGGCGCUGGCGGAGCGGCACCGCUGCCCGGCGUUGAGGGAGGCGUGCAUGCAAUUCCUCUCUUCUCCCGGUAACCUGAAGGCCGUCAUGGCGUCUGACGGUUUCGAGCAGCUCAAGACGGGCUGCCCCUCCGCCCUGCUGGAGCUCCUCGUGAAGAACAUGCUGACACAUGAGCAGCAGAUUAGUACCAGCAGCCAGAUAGAUAGUUACUCCAAUCGUACAAAGCGAUCGUCUCUUUCGUCAAUCAUCAUAUCAACGCCCGGGCUGUUGUCCGCAAUGCGCGCCGCCGGCCGGCAGCAGAUCACCGCCUCUUCCCUCCGCGCGAGACAUGCGACGGGCUCCCACGUCUUCACGAUCCACAAGUUCACCAAAGUCAGGGAGAAGGUGGCGAAUGGUGUCGCCGUCCUGUCAAGGCCGUUCUGCGUCGGGGGUCAUGACUGGCGUAUCAAGGUCUACCCCAACAGAGACGAGACAGAGAAUGCCGAGGGCCACAUCUCUCUCUAUCUGAUGCACAACAACUACGCCAAGACCGUCACUCCCGAAUGGUCAUGCCACGUGGCUUCCUUUUGCCGUGCGUGGCUCUUGGCGUCUACCCCGUUCGUUGUACGGGAGAUGAAGUUUGAUGGAAUUUUGAAACCACCAGAAAUCACAAACUCUCGUGAAUUUAGUCACAACCUUCUAUCUAGGGUAUACACUGAAGAUAUAGCAAUUAGAAUGGGUGAUGGAUCUCUUCUCUACUUCACUGAUGGUGAUGUUCACAAAGUUCUGGGUAUCCCAUUCACGGGAAAGGAGUUGCGAAUUCCUUCCACGGAAGAAAUCAAUCACAUCAAAAAUAUAAUAUGCAUCCGACUGAACGACCCGGAGUUUAAAAAAAUCACGAGAACUGUACUAACUGAUAUUGUAAGCAAGAAACAUGAAGCACCAAUGUCGGAUGAUGAAGUUGCUGCCUUCAAGACUGCAUUCAUUCUACUUGUGAUGACCAAAUUCCUUGCGCCACAAACUUUGUUGGACAAUAUAUGUCCGAGGUAUUUUAUGGCGCUCAAGAAUUUGGAUGACAUACAUAAUUGGAACUGGGCAAGGUAUGUCGUUAAUGACAUUAUAGCAGCAGCGCGGGCAUUGGCCAACAAGCUCACUGAUGAAACAAAAGCCACCUAUAUAAAUGGAUGUGUCAUAUUUCUGCAGAUAUUCUACUUGGACAACCUGGAAUUGGGUCCGCUAAGUCUCAAGCAUGAUUGCUUCCCACGAAUUAUGGCGUAUGAUAAACAUGCAAUAAAAGUACGAAUGAGUAUGGACCUCAAAGAGAAGAAUCAGUACAAGCCAACCCAGUUUUGGAUGAUGAAGCUACGUCCAAGAAGUGAAGUCUGUUACAGCAGACAUACAAUGGGUAUGAUGUCGGCUUUUCGAGCUGAAAGUGGCGCUGUCCCAUCAGAGAUCAAUCCUGAUAAUAGCAAGAUAGUUCAGCAAGCAUUCCUGAUUAGGGACAAUUUGUCAGAUUGA
rnacentral:rRNA from 1 species